rnacentral:rRNA from 1 species
GACGAACGCUGGCGGCGUGCUUAACACAUGCAAGUCGAACGAAGAGCGAUGGAAGCUUGCUUCUAUCAAUCUUAGUGGCGAACGGGUGAGUAACGCGUAAUCAACCUGCCCUUCAGAGGGGGACAACAGUUGGAAACGACUGCUAAUACCGCAUACGAUCCAAUCUCGGCAUCGAGACUGGAUGAAAGGUGGCCUCUAUUUAUAAGCUAUCACUGAAGGAGGGGAUUGCGUCUGAUUAGCUAGUUGGAGGGGUAACGGCCCACCAAGGCGAUGAUCAGUAGCCGGUCUGAGAGGAUGAACGGCCACAUUGGGACUGAGACACGGCCCAGACUCCUACGGGAGGCAGCAGUGGGGAAUCUUCCGCAAUGGACGAAAGUCUGACGGAGCAACGCCGCGUGAGUGAUGACGGCCUUCGGGUUGUAAAGCUCUGUUAAUCGGGACGAAUGGUUCUUGUGCAAAUAGUGCGAGGAUUUGACG